rnacentral:rRNA from 1 species
UACGGAGGGAGCUAGCGUUGUUCGGAAUUACUGGGCGUAAAGCGCGCGUAGGCGGCUUUGUAAGUUAGAGGUGAAAGCCCGGGGCUCAACCCCGGAACUGCCUUUAAGACUGCAUCGCUUGAAUCCGGGAGAGGUGAGUGGAAUUCCGAGUGUAGAGGUGAAAUUCGUAGAUAUUCGGAAGAACACCAGUGGCGAAGGCGGCUCACUGGACCGGUAUUGACGCUGAUGUGCGAAAGCGUGGGGAGCAAACAGGA